AGUGAACGCUGGCGGUAGGCCUAACACAUGCAAGUCGAACGGCAGCACAGUAAGAGCUUGCUCUUACGGGUGGCGAGUGGCGGACGGGUGAGGAAUACAUCGGAAUCUACUUUUUCGUGGGGGAUAACGUAGGGAAACUUACGCUAAUACCGCAUACGACCUACGGGUGAAAGCAGGGGAUCUUCGGACCUUGCGCGAUUGAAUGAGCCGAUGUCGGAUUGGCUAGUUGGCGGGGUAAAGGCCCACCAAGGCGACGAUCCGUAGCUGGUCUGAGAGGAUGAUCAGCCACACUGGAACUGAGACACGGUCCAGACUCCUACGGGAGGCAGCAGUGGGGAAUAUUGGACAAUGGGCGCAAGCCUGAUCCAGCCAUACCGCGUAGGUGAAGAAGGCCUUCGGGUUGUAAAGCCCUUUUGUUGGGAAAGAAAAGCAGCAGGUUAAUACCCCGCUGUUCUGACGGUACCCAAAGAAUAAGCACCGGCUAACUUCGUG
rnacentral:rRNA from 1 species